AUUGAACGCUGGCGGCAUGCCUUACACAUGCAAGUCGAACGGUAACGGGCCUUCGGGUGCCGACGAGUGGCGAACGGGUGAGUAAUGCAUCGGAACGUACCUUUCAGUGGGGGAUAACGUAGCGAAAGUUACGCUAAUACCGCAUAUUCUGUGCGCAGGAAAGCAGGGGAUCGCAAGACCUUGCGCUGAUUGAGCGGCCGAUGUCAGAUUAGCUAGUUGGUGAGGUAAAGGCUCACCAAGGCGACGAUCUGUAGCGGGUCUGAGAGGAUGAUCCGCCACACUGGAACUGAGACACGGUCCAGACUCCUACGGGAGGCAGCAGUGGGGAAUUUUGGACAAUGGGGGCAACCCUGAUCCAGCCAUGCCGCGUGAGUGAAGAAGGCCUUCGGGUUGUAAAGCUCUUUCGGCCGGGAAGAAAUCGCAUGGGUUAAUACCCUGUGCGGAUGACGGUACCGGCAUAAGAAGCACCGGCUAACUACGUGCCAGCCGCCGCGGUAA
rnacentral:rRNA from 1 species